rnacentral:pre_miRNA from 1 species
CCUCACUCAGUUGGGCUGUGGUGUGAGUUUUGACGUCAUCACAACCUCCUUGAGUGAGUGA